rnacentral:rRNA from 1 species
UACGGAGGGUGCAAGCGUUAUCCGGAUUUACUGGGUUUAAAGGGUGCGUAGGCGGGCCAUUAAGUCAGUGGUGAAAGCUCCGAGCUUAACUCGGAAACUGCCAUUGAUACUAUAGGUCUUGAAUUCGGUCGAGGUUGGCGGAAUGUGUCGUGUAGCGGUGAAAUGCUUAGAUAUGACACAGAACACCGAUUGCGAAGGCAGCUAGCUAGACCGACAUUGACGCUGAGGCACGAAAGCGUGGGGAUCAAACAGG